rnacentral:rRNA from 1 species
AUUGAACGCUGGCGGCAUGCUUUACACAUGCAAGUCGAACGGUAACAGGCCGCAAGGUGCUGACGAGUGGCGAACGGGUGAGUAAUGCAUCGGAACGUGCCCGAUCGUGGGGGAUAACGCAGCGAAAGCUGCGCUAAUACCGCAUACGAUCUGAGGAUGAAAGCGGGGGAUCGCAAGACCUCGCGCGAUUGGAGCGGCCGAUAUCAGAUUAGGUAGUUGGUAGGGUAAAGGCCUACCAAGCCAACGAUCUGUAGCUGGUCUGAGAGGACGACCAGCCACACUGGAACUGAGACACGGUCCAGACUCCUACGGGAGGCAGCAGUGGGGAAUUUUGGACAAUGGACGCAAGUCUGAUCCAGCCAUUCCGCGUGCAGGAUGAAGGGCCCCUCGGGGUUGUAAAAGGUCCCUUUUUAGGCGGGGACGAUGAUGACGGUACCCGC